rnacentral:rRNA from 1 species
AGUGAACGCUGGCGGUAGGCCUAACACAUGCGAGUCGAACGGCAGCACAGUAAGAGCUUGCUCUUACGGGUGGCGAGUGGCGGACGGGUGAGGAAUACAUCGGAAUCUACUUUUUCGUGGGGGAUAACGUAGGGAAACUUACGCUAAUACCGCAUACGACCUACGGGUGAAAGCAGGGGAUCUUCGGACCUUGCGCGAUUGAAUGAGCCGAUGUCGGAUUAGCUAGUUGGCGGGGUAAAGGCCCACCAAGGCGACGAUCCGUAGCUGGUCUGAGAGGAUGAUCAGCCACACUGGAACUGAGACACGGUCCAGACUCCUACGGGAGGCAGCAGUGGGGAAUAUUGGACAAUGGGCGCAAGCCUGAUCCCGCCAUACCGCGUGGGUGAAGAAGGCCUUCGGGUUGUAAAGCCCUUUUGUUGGGAAAGAAAAGCAGCAGGUUAAUACCCCGCUGUUCUGACGGUACCCAAAGAAUAAGCACCGGCUAACUUCGUG